rnacentral:lncRNA from 1 species
UGAUCCGCUCUUCCUGGAGGAAGGGUUUCCGGAGGGCGUGGCUUCCGACCUCCGGCGCAGGGGUCACCGCAUAGAACCAGGCUUUGUGUCUCGUUAUGAUCGGAGCACCAGAAGCAUGGCCCAUAUCGUCACACGAGGCAGCUGGUGGGACCGCACUUCCAAGUGUGCGGUCCAGGAAGUGGCGCCCGUCCUGUGGUUCGGCUGCGAGCCUCGGAGCGACGGUAUGGCAGCCGCGGCACCGCCUGAAGAUGUACACUGAAGACCGCGGCGUGCGCGCUGUGUUGCUGCGGUACUCGCAUCAGAAAGCCUCAGACGAGCGGUGCAGUCAUGGUCACAUCCGCGUCUUCGCCGUCGAGCUUCAGGCGUUGCAUGAAUGACAUAACGUCACAUAGUUAAUGAAGACGACUGGGCUAGUUCGCGCAAUUUGGAAGGCUCGGACAAAAUUAAGCGCACUAAAGGACAACGAACUAAAAGAAACAGGCCAUAAAGGGCGAUAACUUCAACAGGAACUAAGCGGCUGUGGAAAGCGUCUUCGUACCGCACAUCGUAUUCGCAAUAUUAAUCACAAGAGCGGUAGUGGGAGGUGAACAAACAGGCUGGGACAAUUAUAUAUGUAUAGACUAGAAAGUAACAUAGAUUGAUAACAGUGACAGAGCGAUUGACACAUGCAAGUACGCCCAUUCACUCACAGCAAUCGCAUAGCCCUGGUGAAGUUUGCGCUCUGCCCGGUCUGUUUCUUCUAUUCCAUUGCCUUUAUCGCGGUUCAUUUUGUUUCAGCCUAUGUCAUAUAGCGCAGGCACACAGCUGGAGUAUUGCGCGUGGACCGGAACUUUGCGUGGAAUACGUUCGUAGCAUAUACUACCAACUUAUAGGGCAAGUAAAAUUAAAAAAAAAAAUUAAACUUCCGGGAACUGUUAGUCGCUGAAAAAACGUAAACCCACAUAUCCAAGUUUUUACACUAGCGUUAUCUGUGGUUCAAAGCCACGUAUAUAGUUUUGCGUCGGUUUGCUUCAACCGUGAACUCUUGUUUCGCUGAAGAUUCUCUGGCACCUCUUUCUCUAAUAAAUCGAUUUGUGCUCGACGUGGUGCUGAACGUAUGCAGAGGCGGAUCCUGGGAAAUAAAGUAAACACCACAGCUUGAGGAUACUUGCGAAUUGACCUUUCUUAUCGAAAUCUCCACGUAAUGAUGUUGUGCCUAUGACCAGUGGUAGGAAGUUUACGUAGCGUUAGGCAUAUGAUGUUUAUAGUAUGUACCUACUUGCAAGAUCACCGGAUAUUUUAUAGGUACACUCUUCUAUGGGUCCAGUAGCAACUUCCUUCCGAAAAACACUUCAAGUCAGCGUUAGGUUUGGUGUAUUAAAGGGGAGCCUAUAACGUCAGGCUUCAUUGCACCAAUAAAGUGGAUAUGACAAUAAGAAACGCUUGUCUGACUUGAAGAAGCAAAAUUACGCAUUGGCAUGUUGUUGCGAUGGUCUGGAAGAUGUCGAGACCCUGCAAGCUAUAGUAUAGUCUGUAUAUACCGAUUGGCCUUCCGUACGAUGCUCCGUCAGCACGGUAAAGUUUGCCACUGCUAGGUGCAGUUUCACAGCACGCAUGUUCUGUGUACACGUAUAAAGAUGUAAAAUGUAGAUUGGUAUGCGAGGCCUAUUUUUGCAUACGAGAAGUUGAUAACUGUAUCAGCACACUUUCUACCGGGAUCUCGAGUAAAUA